GACUGGGGAUCAAUAAAUUUUGCUUAUCCCCCAAGCUUUUCACAGCUUAACACGACCUUUUUCGCCUAAAGCUCUUGGGUCAUCCAGGAAUCACUCAAAGUACGCUGACCCACAAGCAGACCCGAGUGUUGAGUUCGCGGGAGAGUAGGUUAUUGCCAGGGUUUUUAUUUUAUACUUUAAACCUUGAAUUUAUUUUUUAAAUGUUUAUAUUAUUUGAAUAAAACAUUCAAAUAAUAUAAAAAAUAAUAUAUAUAUUGACAUGGAUUAAACAAAGAUAUAUAUUAUUCUAUGUUGUAUAAACAAAUUGGCAAAAUAGAGAUGGAAGAUAAAAAUAUGGUCAAAGUAAUAAGAGUCUAUGGUGGAUGCCUAGGAGCUUUAAGGCGAAGAAGGUCGUGGUAAGCUGCGAAAAGCUUGGGGGAUAAGCAAACAUUUAUUGAUCCCAAGAUUACCGAAUGGAGUAAUCCA
rnacentral:misc_RNA from 1 species